GCAUUUUAUUAAUGCUUUUGAAGAUUAGAAGAUAUUUUGCCUUCUGGAGUUUCUCUGACUUGCUUGAUGAUUUAAGCUCAAAGCUGCCAGUUAAAGGGGAGAUGAUCAAUAAACCCCUGUAACAUCUGAGAGAAAAAUGGAAGAAAUGGAGGUACUUUCAGAUGGAACAGAGUGAGCCACUGAACAGACAGACGUUUAAGUACCAGAAAGUUAAUGGCGCAGAAUACUGCUGACUGCGUGGUUCUCGUCUCAGUGCAUUUUCCAGCCUUGAACCUGAGCAUGCUGGAGGCUGGAGACCCUGGACACUCAUCUGAGCAGUUAUCUCCUGAUGGCCUGGUUCCUGAGGUAACAAGUGGGUGUCCCGGGCGUGUGUCUGCUAACAACAGCAGUGAUGCCACGUGGUGCCCAGAGGUCGCCGCCAUCUGUGCUGGGGACUCCUGGUCCUCGGGGCUUCUGAGAUGAACUGUGAACUCGGGGCGUCCUGUGAAGUGCAGGCAUUUUGGAGUGCCACAGCAGAUCUGGAUGUAAGCAUAAACACAGCUUUCAAAGCGAAAGCAGGGGCCCCGAGGAAGGAAUUACCCUCAUCUCAUUCCCGACCUGCUCACUGUGCUGGAAAACAAAGUGCCGAUCUCCUGAACAAAUGCCUCCUGAGGAUUUCUGUGUCUGGAAAAUAUCUGUCAACAGAUUGCAUUUACGUCCCUGUUGGUUGAUGUAAUGAUGGGCGUGCUCAUCUGGGUGAUGGCCCCCACUGAUCCCCACCUGCUGGUGUUCACGCCCUCCAGUGGAGCAGGGGCUGGACCAAGUGACUGACUUCUCUUCGCUAGAAUAUGGCUAAGGUGAGGCGUCACUUCCAAGAUUAGGUUAUGAAUGGGCUGAUCCUGUCGUGCUUUUGUGUUCACUCAUGCUGGCUCGCUCUGUUUCUCUAAGGAAAGUCACCUGCCCGUGUCAGGAGCUGCCCAGUGGAGAGACCCAGGUAGAAAGGAACAGAUGUCUUCAGGCAGCAGCUCAUGAUGACCUGAGGCCUGCCUAGAGCCACAUGAGCUUGGAAAUGAAUCCUCUCUCGACAAGUGUGGGGAUGACUGCAGCUCCAGCCAACACCUUGACUGCAACCCUGAAAGACCCUGAACUAGAGGACCCACAGGAAUUGUUACAUAAUACAUGCUUAUUAUUUUAAACCACUACAUUCUGGGGUUACUUGUUAUGCAGCAAUAGCUGACUCUUACAGCUGGUAGUACUCUUAUCUAGGCUCAGACUUCCUGCUUAUGGUACCUAAUAUGUUUUUAGAUAAAGAUUUUGUUGGAGAAUCACUUUAGAUUUACAGAAAGGUUGCACAGAUAAUAGAGUUGUCUUCUGUCCCUCAUCCAGUUUCCUCUAUUAUUAAUAUCUUACAUAACCAUGGUACAUUUGUCAGUACUAAGAAACCAACAUCAGCACUUUACUGGUGACUGAAUUUCAGACUUUAUUCACAUCUGACUAGUUUUUCCACUGAUGUCCUUUUUCUAUUCCAGGAUUGGUAUCAUAUUUUAAUAGCCUAGUAGAUACCAUGCCUCAUAACUCUGCAUGUGUGUGCGUGUGUGUAGAGAGAAGAAAUGCAUAUAUAUUUGCUAAAAUCUGGGAGAUCUACUCACAGAUAAUAAAGGAACAUUAGCAAGAUCUUUAAUUAGGAGUCUUGUUUAUAAUUAUUAGGAAAAAUAACCAUUAUAUUAACUUAAUAAAAAAUGUCUAGGAACAGCUGGGUGGCUCAGUUGGUUAAGCAUCUGACCCUUGGUUUCUGCUCAGGUCAUGGUCUCAGAGUUGUGAGAUUGAGCACUGUGUCAGGCUCCAUGCUCAGUGGGGAGUGUGCUUGAGAUUCUCUCUCUCCAUCUCCCUCUGCCUCUCCCCCUGUUCACAUGUGCACACUUUCUAAAUAAAUAAAUAAAUAAAAUCUUUUUAAAAAAUCUAUUAUGUGAAAUCACUGAGGGGGAGGUGGGAGUGGCUGCAAAUAAAAAAUGGUAAGACCCUAACAAGUCAGAAAUACUUCUAAAUGUCAAGUCUGCCUUACUAAAAAGGAACAAUGCUCUUUUAAUAAACUAAAACUUGGAUUUUCAUUUAAUAAGAAUAUCAUAUAUGAGAUUUGCCAGCGGUUAUUUUGCAUUAUCAUGUUGGUACAAAUUAAUUUUUAUUUAUAUAAUAUGUAAUUACUUAAUUUUCUUAUAAGUAAAUGAAAACUAUCCAUCUAAGAGAAAUGAUUUCCUUUUUUCUUGAUUCCUAUGCAGUGUGAUCCUGGCCAAGUCACUUAGUCUUCUUGGGUUUUCCUUUAGUAUCAGUUUGUAUUACCAGAAUUUUACAACGAAUUAAUCAUGUGCUACAAAUGCUUAAUCUUUGUAAAUAUUUUGUAAAUAAAACUGUAAAAGGGUAAUAAAAAUUUCUAUUCCCU
ensembl:lncRNA